AGAACGAACGCUGGCGGCAUGCCUAACACAUGCAAGUCGAACGCGUGGAGCAAUCCACGAGUGGCGGACGGGUGAGUAACGCGUGGGAACCUGCCCUGGAGUGUGGGAUAACCGAGGGAAACUUCGGCUAAUACCGCAUACGACCUGAGGGUGAAAGAUUUAUCGCUCUAGGAGGGGCCCGCGUCGGAUUAGCUAGUUGGUGGGGUAAAGGCCUACCAAGGCAGUGAUCCGUAGCUGGUCUGAGAGGAUGAUCAGCCACACUGGGACUGAGACACGGCCCAGACUCCUACGGGAGGCAGCAGUGGGGAAUAUUGGACAAUGGGGGCAACCCUGAUCCAGCAAUGCCGCGUGAGUGAUGAAGGCCUUAGGGUUGUAAAGCUCUUUCGCGCGCGACGAUGAUGACGGUAGCGCGAGAAGAAGCCCCGGCUAACUUCGUGCCAGCAGCCGC
rnacentral:rRNA from 1 species